rnacentral:lncRNA from 1 species
GUUCAUCUCACACUAUCUAUAGACAUCUCGGUAUUAUGUGAUUUCGAAACAUGUAAAGCUAAGACAUGUAUGGAGACUUAGUCAUUUUGAGUGUGUUUAUAUGAUAUGGGUAAUGGUUAGCUAUUAAAAUGGCUAAUUAAGAACAUGUUUGGUGUUAUGGAUGCCUAAAUGAUAGUAAAUACAAAUAAAUUAUAGAAGAGUAAAAAUUUGCAAUGGAACAGUUUUUG